UUAGAGUUUGAUCCUGGCUCAGGAUGAACGCUAGCGGCAGGCUUAACACAUGCAAGUCGAGGGGCAGCGAGAUCAGUGCUUGCACUGAUUGUCGGCGACCGGCGCACGGGUGCGUAACGCGUAUGCAACCUACCCAUUACAGGGGGAUAACACUGAGAAAUCGGUACUAAUACCCCAUAACAUCCAGGGAGGCAUCUUCUUGGGUUGAAAACUCCGGUGGUAAUGGAUGGGCAUGCGUUGUAUUAGUUAGUUGGUGGGGUAACGGCUCACCAAGACAACGAUACAUAGGGGGACUGAGAGGUUAACCCCCCACAUUGGUACUGAGACACGGACCAAACUCCUACGGGAGGCAGCAGUGAGGAAUAUUGGUCAAUGGACGCAAGUCUGAACCAGCCAUGCCGCGUGCAGGAAGACGGCUCUAUGAGUUGUAAACUGCUUUUGUACGAGGGUAAACGCAGAUACGCGUAUCUGUCUGAAAGUAUCGUACGAAUAAGGAUCGGCUAACUCCGUGCCAGCAGCCGCGGUAAUACGGAGGAUUCAAGCGUUAUCCGGAUUUAUUGGGUUUAAAGGGUGCGUAGGCGGUCGGAUAAGUUAGAGGUGAAAUCCCGGGGCUCAACUUCGGAAUUGCCUCUGAUACUGUUCGGCUAGAGAGUAGUUGCGGUAGGCGGAAUGUAUGGUGUAGCGGUGAAAUGCUUAGAGAUCAUACAGAACACCGAUUGCGAAGGCAGCUUACCAAGCUACUUCUGACGUUGAGGCACGAAAGCGUGGGGAGCAAACAGGAUUAGAUACCCUGGUAGUCCACGCAGU
rnacentral:rRNA from 1 species